UACGUAGGCAGCGAGCGUUGUUCGGAGUUACUGGGCGUAAAGGGUGUGUAGGCGGUUUUCUAAGUUUGGUGUGAAAUCUCCCGGCUCAACCGGGAGGGUGCGCCGAAAACUGGGAGACUAGAGUGCGGGAUGGGAGAGUAGAAUUCCUGGUGUAGCGGUGAAAUGCGUAGAUAUCAGGAGGAAUACCGGUGGUGUAGACGGCUCUCUGGACCGCCACUGACGCUGAAACACGAAAGCGUGGGUAGCAAACAGG
rnacentral:rRNA from 1 species